CUGUAGAAUAUGCUAGGAAUGUAAUGUCGUGAGAUAGUAGGGGACUGGUCAGAACAGCCUGGGCUCUGUUCCAGCUCACCCUAGAAAUAGGAUGUCCUUCAGUGCUUUGGCCCUGGGCGUAAAGCCCAGGGUAGACUGCUUUUCCAGGUCCCUCAGAUGCAGUGCAAGUGCGGCAUGUGCCUUGGAGACUCUGUGUUCCCCAAGCAGCUUUGUGAGCCUUGGGAGACCAGCUCAGGAUGAAGCCUUGACUUCUGUUAUCCAUUGCUGCUUAUCUUUCUGAGGACAAUGACCCCUGUCUGUGAUGCCCCACUGAAUUCACAAUGAUCCACGUGCAGACUCUCCAACCCUGGAAACAUGAAAAACAAAGUUGAUGUAAACAGCUGGAGACUGCAACUUGAAAAACCAAGAAACUCCAUCCUGCACUGCCAGCAUCCUUGCCCAGAAGAUAUCACCUUUUGUCAGAACUUGGAGUUAUGAAUGACCACCAUACCAACACUCUCUGACUCAGCUUCUCUCUACCCUGAAUACAAGAGACCCUAAUAGUUGGGCAGGCAUAUCCUUGCCCCUAUUCAGCCUGAAGAAGUUACAGAAGAUGGAUCUUCAUCCCUCUGCAACCCUUAGGAUUAAAGGUCCUCUGGUAAAGGGAUGGGGAGAUAUGUCAGAGGCAUUCAAACCAGAGCAACUCCAUUUUGAGUGAGGGUUGGGAAAAUGGGGCUGAGACUUCCUGGGCUGUGUUGUCAGAAAGAAAGGUAUUCCUAGCCUCUAGAUGUUUAUGGUUAAGGGAGCAGAUUAGUAAAGUUUACUAAACAGACUCGGACUUGGGAGUGUCCUAAUAUCCCAAUAUCUUGCGAAUGAAGGCAUUCCUAAUUUUGCUUUAAAGAUAAUAAUAUCAAUUCUUGCAAAAUAUAGUAAUUAAGAAAACUAAUUUUUUAUCAUAAACCCUUGUAGCAGAGCACAUCUCCCUAUAUAUACAAGCAUUGUACCUGGGGUAAAUUUGUUCUUCCUUUUACGUUUAGGAUUGUCCUACUAUGUCUAGGAAGUAGCUGUCCUUUCAUCACUGUACUUUUUUCAUAAACUUGCUUUUACUUUGCACUGUGGACUUGCCCUGAAUUCUUUCUUGUGCAAGAUCCAAGAACCCUCGCUUGGGGUCUGGAUUGGGACCCCUUUCCUUUAAGAGUUACAACAAUUAUAAAUUGUUACAGGCCUCUACUUCUCCCACAAAGGUGAGGUGUUGAGUCAGAAUCUCAAUAUGCUCCUGUUUGUGUGUAUUAUAAAUGAGUAUCAUAUGCUAUGUGUAUCAUUAUAUAAAACAAAUUGUAAAUAAAUGGCAUAAUAUGACAAAAUGA